GACGAACGCUGGCGGCGUGCUUAACACAUGCAAGUCGAACGGAAAGGCCCUGCUUUUGUGGGGUGCUCGAGUGACGAACGGGUGAGUAACACGUGAGUAACCUGCCCUUGACUUUGGGAUAACUUCAGGAAACUGGGGCUAAUACCGGAUAGGAGCUCCUGCUGCAUGGUGGGGGUUGGAAAGUUUCGGCGGUUGGGGAUGGACUCGCGGCUUAUCAGCUUGUUGGUGGGGUAGUGGCUUACCAAGGCUUUGACGGGUAGCCGGCCUGAGAGGGUGACCGGCCACAUUGGGACUGAGAUACGGCCCAGACUCCUACGGGAGGCAGCAGUGGGGAAUAUUGCACAAUGGGCGGAAGCCUGAUGCAGCAACGCCGCGUGCGGGAUGACGGCCUUCGGGUUGUAAACCGCUUUCGCCUGUGACGAAGCGUGAGUGACGGUAAUGGGUAAAGAAGCACCGACUAACUACGUG
rnacentral:rRNA from 1 species